AGGGGAUGCCAAAUAAAAAGUUUACUCCCAAAAUCUAUUUGCCAGAAGAACCGACAAAAGCGCAACAAGCUCGAAAGUCGAUCCGCGGGUGGAGGGCCGGAGUGAAGGCGGAGGCCAUAGAGACUGCUCUGACACCUGAACCUCCACAGUCUCCUGCUCCUCCCUCUGCUCCCUCUGCUCCCUCUGCUCCUGCUGCUCCUGCUGCUCCUGCUGGUCCUGCUGCUCCUGCUGCUCCUGCUGCUCCUGCUGCUCCCGCUGCUCCCCUCUUCUCUGCCGAGGACCAUCACUAUGCCAUCGCACCCG
ensembl:lncRNA